CCGGACAAGGACUCGCUGCAAGGCUGGGUGGGCUCGGUAUCAUCGGGACGUGACGGAAGCGUGCCAGGCUUGCACGCUGCCCAGGAGGCCCUGCUGACUCCUAAAGAAGAGAAGGAGGUCUAUUCUGCUGAAGCAAAAUUCAUUGAAGAACGUGGAGUUGCGCUCUCUAGAAAAGACCGGAAACCCACUGCCAAAACACCCACAACAAAAACACGACCAGAACGAAGGUGGAAAUGAGGAACGUGAAAACCGG